rnacentral:lncRNA from 1 species
UUUUUUUUUUUUUUUUUUUUUUUUUACCACCUACAUGGUUAUAUAGAGAGGGUAAUGAAUUCAUCAAUUAGGGUGACACUUCAGUCUCAUGGGGAAGUGGCCAUAUUGAUUGGUGGUGUUUUGGGUUCUGGGUUUUUUGUUGGUGGUCAGAGUAUGAAAGUCUGGACAGUCACUCAGUCACAAAUACUCAUUACCAUGGGCAGAACACUGUUUUAGGUGUUUGGGAUGCAUCCGUGAACAAAACAUAGCCUCUUGAAGCUUAUGUUCUAAUAGGAUGGCAGUCAGUAAACAAUAAGUAAAGUCAUAGCAACAAAGUGGUCAGUGCCAAGAAAAGAAUUGCAGAGCGGGGUCAGGCAUUCCUAGGGACCUGAGGUUUGGUUGGUGCCAUGUUAAUUUGGGGAAUGGGGCAGUUGCUUGGUCUCUCCGAGAGCAAGGAGAAGCCAGGAAAACUGUUCAGAGGCUGUCAGUAGUGAUCAGGCAAGAGGUGAUGCUGGCCCAGUGAGACCAUGGUCGGUUCUGGGUAUGUCUUGAAAUAAGAGUCAACUGCAUUUGCUCUUGGGUUGACUGUGAAUGAGUGAGCAAAAACCCAAGGCUGCACACAUUUUGGCUUGUACAGCAGAAAGGCUUGCUGUCCAUUGGAAUGGGGCAGCUUGCUGUGGGUGGGAGGGCAAGCAGGAGAGCAAUCUUAGAUGCUGUGAGUUUGAGGUGCAUUCAGAUACCAUGUGGAGAUCCAGGAGGGACCCCGGGAGCCCUCGGCCAAUGGGUGGAUCCUCUGCAGAUACGGGACAGAAGCUCCCAGACAAGGGGCACAGCCCGGGAGCAGUAAGUUGGGAGGGGUUUUCAAACCUCCCUUAUUAAAGAAAACAGGUCCCGUCUCCCUCCUUUUUUCACCUGAGGCAUUUUAGUUCCUUCCCUAGACCUAGUUUCCUUGUACACAGCUUCUCUCACAGCCCAUUGUGCACAGGUUCUUCUGAGUGGCUGCCCUGUGGAAGUUUAUAGAGGGGAAGUGGAGCUCUACCAUGUAGAGGUGUGGCUGUGGCAGGGCUCCUGACCUUCACACCUGGGACACGUUCUGUUUGCCAUGUUUGUUCUCAAGGACACACUGAUUACCGGAAGUUAGGCUUUUUUGAGACAAGUUCAUUACCCACACGCUCUGAUGAGAGGACCACUGUAUGCAGACUCAGACGCUCAGCUGUUGUCAGUUAUUUGUUUGCCAGAAGUGUGUCUGUGCUUUAAUGCACUCUACUGAUCUAUUGAGAACUGGGUAUUUAUCCACAGAGUUCGUCUGGAUCGGUAUCAUUUAAAAGCCUCUAUCACUGAUUGACAUCAAUUUGAUUUCAGUGACAAUAGCGAUAGUGUUAUCUUUACUCCAAUUAAAGCAUGAAGUUAAAUCGAUUAAUAAGGGGCCCAUGCCCUUCCUUUAGGAUAAGUAUGUUUUUAUAAUAUGAUGUUUUUAUUCCGCAUACAGUGAAUUUUGAAAAGGAAUAUUCUAGAGUACUUGAAAAUCACUUCAGAUGCAGUGACAAGGCCACAUUUUGCCCUCAUCCACUCCUCUGGAGUCCCUCAGAGGUGAGGUAAGGUAUGUGGUGGGGGCGGUGCUACGGUUUUUAUUUACCUGACAACCAGAGUGUUGUCCUACUCCUGAAAGUAGAGUUAGUAUUCCAGUCAUGCCAACUCGCAUCCUGAUCAGGCAAAACGGGAACUAAGACAACAUUCCAUAGCGACGUGCCUGGUUCAUGAGCUGUCCUUUAUUUUCCAAAAGUGAAGACCCAGGCGGAAAGCUGGGAGGGAACACGACUAACUUUGAGAAGCACAACUGUGAUCAUUUUCAUAGUAUAUGUCUCUCCAAAAGCCUAGAGAAAGAUGAUAUUUAAAAGAAAGAUCUCGCUGUGUGUGCAUUAUGAACAUGUUAUUGUCAUUCUGGAAAUCAUCCCUGAAUACCCUUCCCUGGCAGUUCCUGCUCUGUGAGUCGCGCAUGGUGAUCUCCAUGUCCACAGAGUGGGUGAUGCAGGGGGACAGGAAGGUGUUUCCACCUGCUCAAAACUUCGCUUUUUGUGGGGAUUUUUUUGAUUAUUUGGGGGUUUCGGUUUACUUUUGCUGAUUUGCCAUGAAACACUUUAAAGAGCUCAGCAGCCCACUUUACAUUGGGGGUAAUGGUUGCUCUCGAAAGGAGUGAAUGAAGGAUGUGCCUUGCAGAUGUCUUGACACUGCACAGGUAAGUCUAGGUGUGACUGUCCCUUAGGCCUCCGCUCCAGUCAACAAGGACAGUUUCAUAACUUUGUAGUUGGGGUCUUCGGUCUACCACUUUGAGAGACCAGAACCCAGGCAGGGGUGACACUCCCUCAAAGGUAGUGCUCACCAUUGGUGUCGUAGUGCCCCAGGGGGGCAGCUGGUGUGAUCUGUGUCAAAGCAGCAUUGGACUCCUCAGAAGUCAGAGCUCAAGCAGGACAUCUCGGCUUGGCUCCUCCCCCAGGGAAGGAAGGUCACAUGGCAAGGAGACCUUGGAAGGUCACAUGGCAAGGAGAAGCCAUCAGAGGGAAUAGAUGGGGAGCUUUGGGCACAUGAAGAAUGGGAUGGGGGUGAGAGUGUCUGAGACUCUCAAGGAGAAAGCCAGCUAGCUAGGAUAGUGGAGUGGACAUUGUAAGAAAACCUGUAUGAACUCAUAAUAACAAAAUACUCUGCCAGGAGGUGAGCUCCUGGCUAUGGUGGAGAUACUGAGGUCAGCCCGCUGGUUAUUGCAGCAGGAUCUAGAUGGCCAUGAAGGCUGGUGUAGGAUGGGUUUUGCCAGGGCAGGACCUCUUAGGAUUCGCUUCACUCAGACAUCAGAACUCUGUUUAAACCUGAAUUAGCCAGCUUGGCUUAGCAGUUGAGGUGUAUGCCCUUGAUCAAAGCAGGCUGGUUUCCCGGCUCUGGGAUCGUGACCUUGUUGCCUCUAUAAAGUACGGUAGUAAUAAUCAUCUCACCUGGCUUAUUGGCAGAGUCUACCAGGUGGCAAGUGCAGAGCAGGAUGCCUGGCAGAUGCUAGUGAAUGUGCAGGUCACACAGGUACAAGCCCUUUUAAACAAGAAUUCAAGCUAAUACUGAAGGUUUUUUUUGUUUUGUUUUGUUUUGUUUUUUAAUACUUUAUUUAUUCAUGAGAGACACAGAGAGAGAGAGGCAGACACAUAGGCUGAGGGAGAAGCAGGCUCCAUGCAGGAAGCCCGACGUGAGACUCUAUUCUGGGACCCUGGGAUCACGCCCAGAGCCAAAGGUAGAUGCUCAGUUGCUGAGCCACUCAGGUGUCCCAAGACACUGAAGUCCUUGAGCACUGUGCUCUCUGCCCUCCCAGCAGAGACUUGAUAAGAAAAUCCCCCCAACUUCUGAAGUGUAGAGUUCUGAUAUCUGAGCCUAGUGUCAGGAAACCAGCCUGCACUGUUCCAUUCCUGGCCUCAAGUUUUGGCCUAUGUCGCCAGGGGCAGGGAAGAGUGUGAGUCUGUUAGAAGAGCAUAAGUAGGAGAGGCAGAUGGUGCUCCCCCCACUCCCCUUGCAGAGUGCUGGUCACCUCUCCUCCAACAGGCCUAGGCCUACCAUUGCCAUCACAUUUAAAGAUUGAUUUAUUUUAGGGGCUCCUGGGUGGCUCAGUGAUUAAGCAUCUCCCUUUGGCUCAGAUUGUGAUCCUGGGGUCCCGGGGUUGAGUCCCACAUUGGGCUCCCCAUGGAGAGCCUGCUUCUCCCUCUGUCUGUGUCUGCCUCUCUUUCUUCUCAUGAAUAAAUAAAUAAAAUCCUUUUUUUAAUAAAUAAAUAUUUAUUCUAGAGAGAGCGCAAGAGCUAGGGGAGGGGCAGAGGGAGAAUCUCCAGCAUGCUCUGUGUUGAGCUCAGAGCCCAACACAGGGCUUGAUUUCAAAACCCUGAGAUCAUGACCCGAACCAAAAUCAAGAGUCAGACGCUCAACCAACUAAGCCACCCAGGGGCCCCUGCCAUCACAUUUAAAAUCCAGCUGGCUCAGGAGCGCCUGGCUGGCUCAGAAGUGGGUACAACAUGUGACUCUUAAUCUCAGGGUCCUGAGUUCAAUCCCCAUGUUGGGUAUGGAGCCUACUUUUUAAAAAUAAUAAUAAAGUAAAAUAACACAACACCACACCGGUUCUCCCAGCCUGCUUGCUCAGCUCUGCCCUCCUACCGUCUGUUGCUUCCUGUUGUGCUAAGAGUCCGUAUCAUGGACAAAUGUUUUUUUUGUUUGUUUUGUUUAAAUAUUUUAUUUAUUCAUGAGAGACACAGAGAGAGAGAGAGGGGGCAGAGACACAGGCAGAGGGAGGAGAAGCAGGCUCCCUGCAGGGAGCCCGACGCAGGACUCAAUCCUGGGUCUCCAGGAUCAGGCGCUGGGUUGAAGGCGGCACUAAACCGCUGAGCCACCCGGGCUGCCUGACAAAUAUUUUUUAUCUCUGUAUCUACCCUCCCAUUUAGUACAAAGUAAGUAUUCAUUUAAAACAAUGCUGGUGGAAUACCUGGGUGGCUCAGUGGUUUAGCACCUGCCUUUGGCCCAGGGCGUGAUCCUGGGGUCCCGGGAUUGAGUCCCUCAUCGGGCUCCCUGCAUGCAGCCUGCUUCUCCCUCUGCCUGUGUCUGUCUGUCUGUCUGUCUGCCUCUCUCUCUCUCUCUCUCUCUUUCAUGAAUAAAUAAAUUUAAAAUAAUAAUAAUAAAAAAUAAAUAAAACAAUGCUGGUUGGGCAGCCUGGGUGGCUCAGUGGUUUAUCACUGCCUUUAGCCCAGGGCCUGGUCCUAGAGACCCGGGAUCAAGUCCCACGUCAGGAGCCUGCUUCUCCCUCUGCCUGUGUCUCUGCCUCUCUUUCUGUGUAUGUCUCAUGAAUAAAUAAA